AUGAUAUCUACGAGAUUUUUAGCAGCGAAAUCGAGAGUUGCUCCUUUAACUUCAGUCAGCAUUCCAAGACUUGAGUUAAUGGCCGCAGUUUUAGGAUUAAGAUUAGCACUUUCAGUUAAACACGCAUUAGAAGUGCCCGAUGAUAAUAUGACAUUCUGGUCAGACAGUAUGAACGUUUUGUAUUGGAUUAGAGGCAGGAGUAGAGAGUAGUACAAGCCAUUUGUAGCGAAUCGAAUUGGAGAGAUUCACACGUCAUCGCAUCCUCAACAAUGGCGACAUGUGCCAACAAAAGUUAACCCGGCAGAUUUAGUAUCUAGAGGUAGAACCGUUGAACAAUUACAGUCGGACGUAAUUUGGUGGAAUGGACCGGAAUUUCUACAAGAUGAGGAACCACAAUGGCCGGACACUAAUAUUCAGAUAGAAAACGUACGUGAUACCGAACUUAAGUGUCAAAAGAAAACAAGCGAUAAAUAUACUACACUGAAAAGUAUUCAUAAUAAUGAUUUAGAUUGGCGUUUAGAUCCCGUACGUUAUUCUAGUGUCGUAAGACUAGUUCGUGUACAAGCGUAUGUGCACAGAUUUAUUGACAAUUGCAGACUAAAGCAAAAACAACGUCGUCAAGGUAGUUUAUCUACCGUAGAAUAUGCAGAUGUCGAGUUGGAUAUAAUCAAAAAAUGCACAAAGGGAGGCAUUUUCAGACGAAUACAACGCUCUUAUGAAAAGUAAAGAUUUACCGAAAACCAGCAAAUUGCUAGGAUUACAACCGCGAAUUGAUGAAAAUGGACUAAUCAGAUGUGAUGGACGUUUAGAGAACGCCGAAUUUCUAUCGUUUGAUGCAAGAUAUAUCCAAUAAUAUUACCACGAAAAAAUUGGGUCACGAAGCUUAUUGUGAAACGAUAUCACGAACUUGGAAAACAUGUUAGUGGGACAAAUCAAACAUUUUCAGCAUUAUCGUCACGAUUUUGGAUUAUUUCAGGGAGAGAAGAAAUAAGAGAAUAUGAACAUGAGUGUUAUACGUGUCGUAAGAAGAAAGCUAAAGUUGCCGAGCAAGUGAUGGCUCCGUUACCGGAAAUUCGUUUCAAAACACCUUUACAUGCUUUCGCUCGUACAGCAGUUGAUUUUGGUGGACCGUUCAUAACUGUUCAGGGCAGAGGAAAACGACGUCAGAAAAGAUACUUAUGUCUAUUUACAUGUUUAGCGUCACGCGCAGUGCAUUUGGAAGUAGCAUUUGGAUUAGAUACGGACUCAUUUCUUAACGCAUUUUAUCGGAUGGUGAACAGGCGAGGUCUUCCGAAAGAGAUGAUUUCAGACAAUGGAACUAAUUUUGUUGGACAAAAUAGAGAACGAAAAGAACUAGUUGGCUUUUUAGACAAGGAUAACAUCUAUAAUUAG
rnacentral:sRNA from 1 species